UUAAUGUCACAUAAUGGUUGCUAGCUAUCCUUCUACCAUUUCAUUUCAAUUUUUUUAUAUAUAUAUACAAUAAAAGGAUAGUAGUAUUGGUGAUCUUAUUACAUACAUAUAUAGCACUUCAUCUUCUUCUUCACAAUGGUGUGAGUUUUUUUUUUAUAAUAUAGUGUGGAAGAAUCUGUAAAGCUCAGGAGGGAUAGCGCCACGGAAGCAUCGGCGAUGAUCCGUUGUUUGUGAAGAGUUUUUACGCUCUUUGAUCUUCUGUAGCGCUAUCCAUCCUGAGUUUCAUGGGUUCUUCACACUGCUUCUAAUGAAUCUUUGAAUUUUUUUUUUGGGAUGUGUGGAUGAAUAUGUUCCAUGCUUUCAUCAUAAGAAGAAGAAAAACGUAACACCAAUAUUGGGUUAUUGGUCCCUCAUAAUAAUCAUGCACUAUACAAGCUUGGUUAGAAUGAAUAUGGAGAAAAAUGGUGGAGAGAGAGAAAAAAAAAACUAAAUGUGUAAGGCUAUGGAUUAUCAAGUUCUUAUUUUCUUUC